CGGGACGUAGCUCAGCUUGGUAGAGCACUUGGUUUGGGACCAAGGGGUCGCAGGUUCGAAUCCUGUCGUCCCGA
rfam:Pilibacter termitis strain ATCC BAA-1030 genome assembly, contig: EI49DRAFT_scaffold00029.29